AUGAGGAACCAGCGGCUAGCUCCUACUUGCUCCUCCUCAAAGACCAACAACAGAAAGCAAGAAGAGCCACACCUCUCCGGGGCUUACAUUAGGAGCCUUGUGAAACAUCUUAGCUCCUCCUCCACAACGAGACCCAAAGACCAUCACAUCACCAUGGGCACCAAGCCGCAGCAAGAAGAGCAACAAGCGCCCCAAACCACACCACCAUCUCUACAACAGCAGCAGCCACACAAGAAGCAGGUGAGGAGGAGGCUGCACACAAGCAGGCCAUACCAGGAGAGGCUACUCAACAUGGCCGAGGCCAGGCGAGAGAUCGUCACGGCUCUCAAGAUCCACAGAGCCUCCAUGAGGGAAGCCAAGGAGCAGCAGCAACAUCAACAACUGGUGCAAGAAUUUCAACAUCAGCAGGAGGUCCAGGUAGUGCAAGAUCAUAGGCUAGCUUGUAGUGCACCCAGCAUGAGCUCAUAUGGUUCCUUCUCAGAUUACCCAUUUGCACACUCCACAGCAAACAACAGUAGUUGCUCAUUUUAUUCAUACCCACUCCUGCCUUACCACACACCACCAGCUGCACCCAUGGUUCCCAUGGUUGAUGCUCUAGAUCACUUGCUGCCGCUGCCUACGCAGCCACUUGGGCUUAACCUGAGCUUCCAUGGCUUCGUCGGGGGCGUUGCUGGCGAAGAUGCCAAGAACAACGCUGAUUCCUUUGAUCCUCCUCCGUUGCUCCAACAACCCUCGCCUGCAUCCUCCUACUCGGUCUACUCCUCUCCGCCGGCGACGACGAUGGCGAGCCAGGACGUGGCGUCCGCCACCGCCGAGAACACUUCACCGUCGCUACACCGUGUGCUGGAUGAGGAGGAGAUGGCGGCGAUCUACUCGGUUGGGGAGCGGCAUGAUAUCGAGUGGAGCGACACGCUGAACCUGGCCACGUCGGCAUGGUGGAGCACGCUCCUCGACGACGGCGCUGCGGCGGCGCACCAGACAGACUCAGUGGACGUCCCGGGGAUGCAUCUGGGUGAUGUGUACUACGGCGAAGACGUCUCCUUCCCAUGUAUGGAGAUAGGAGAGAUGGGAGGAUGGGACGAGGGGUGGCUCUCAUGA
rnacentral:rRNA from 1 species